UACUGAGUCGUCGACACGAGUUGUUGCUGGUCCUCGAACAGGGGACAUGUGCACGCUCUGUUUACACAUCCACUCACACCUGUGCACCCUCUGUAGUUCUAUGGUCUGGGGGGCCCUGCCUCCCUUCCGUGGUUCUGCAUCUUUACACAUACACUGUAACAAAGUUUAUGGAAUGUACAUCGCGUUUAACGCAAUACAAUACAACUUUCAGCAACGGAUCUCUUGGCUCUCGCAUCGAUGAAGAACGCAGCGAAAUGCGAUAAGUAAUGUGAAUUGCAGGAUUCAGUGAAUCAUCGAAUCUUUGAACGCACCUUGCGCCCCUUGGUAUUCCGAGGGGCACACCCGUUUGAGUGUCGUGAAAUCAUCAAAAAACCUCUUUUCCGUUUACAGAAAAGGAUUUUUUUUGGACUUGGAGGUUUAAUGCUUGCCUUUCACUUUUGAAAAGCGAGCUCCUCUUAAAUGAAUUAGUGGGGUCUGCAUUGUCGGUCCUUGACGUGAUAAGAUGCUUUUCUACGUUUUGGAUUUGGCACUGUGCCCGCUGCUAACCGUCCUAUGGACAAACGAUGGUGCUUCGGUCGCCGUCCGUCUACAUCGGCGGAGGGAGGGCUGGACCCACAAAAGAAAACCUUG
rnacentral:misc_RNA from 1 species